AUUGAACGCUGGCGGCAUGCUCUACACAUGCAAGUCGAACGGUAACAGGCCGCAAGGUGCUGACGAGUGGCGAACGGGUGAGUAAUGCAUCGGAACGUGCCCAGUCGUGGGGGAUAACUACUCGAAAGAGUAGCUAAUACCGCAUACGAUCUAUGGAUGAAAGCGGGGGACCGUAAGGCCUCGCGCGAUUGGAGCGGCCGAUGUUAGAUUAGGUAGUUGGUGGGGUAAAGGCUCACCAAGCCAACGAUCUGUAGCUGGUCUGAGAGGACGACCAGCCACACUGGGACUGAGACACGGCCCAGACUCCUACGGGAGGCAGCAGUGGGGAAUUUUGGACAAUGGGCGCAAGCCUGAUCCAGCAAUGCCGCGUGCAGGAAGAAGGCCUUCGGGUUGUAAACUGCUUUUGUACGGAACGAAACGGCUCUGGUUAAUACCCGGGGCUAAUGACGGUACCGUAAGAAUAAGCACCGGCUAACUACGUG
rnacentral:rRNA from 1 species